AAAACAUGGUGAGGGAAUUUUUAAAGUAUUUUUUUAAAUUACUCCCAACUUUCAUAAAUUGACUCUCCUUUAAACUGAGCAAAAUAUGUGAUAUCAUUCCUAACCUU